GACGAACGCUGGCGGCGUGCCUAAUACAUGCAAGUCGUGCGGACCUUUUAAAAGCUUGCUUUUAAAAGGUUAGCGGCGGACGGGUGAGUAACACGUGGGCAACCUGCCUGUAAGACUGGGAUAACGCCGGGAAACCGGGGCUAAUACCAGAUCGUUUUUUCCUCCGCAUGGAGGAAAAAGGAAAGGCGGCUUCGGCUGCCACUUACAGAUGGGCCCGCGGCGCAUUAGCUAGUUGGCGGGGUAACGGCCCACCAAGGCAACGAUGCGUAGCCGACCUGAGAGGGUGAUCGGCCACAUUGGGACUGAGACACGGCCCAAACUCCUACGGGAGGCAGCAGUAGGGAAUCUUCCGCAAUGGACGAAAGUCUGACGGAGCAACGCCGCGUGAGUGAAGAAGGCCUUCGGGUCGUAAAACUCUGUUGCCGGGGAAGAACAAGUGCCGUUCGAACAGGGCGGCGCCUUGACGGUACCCGGCCAGAAAGCCACGGCUAACUAC
rnacentral:rRNA from 1 species